UACGUAGGGUGCGAGCGUUUAAUCGGAAUACUGGGCGUAAAGCGUGCGCAGGCGGUUUGUAAGACAGGCGUGAAAUCCCCGGGCUCAACCUGGGAAUGGCGCUUGUGACUGCAAAGCUGGAGUGCGGCAGAGGGGAUGGAAUUCCGCGGUGUAGCAGUGAAAUGCGUAGAUAUGCGGAGGAACACCGAUGGCGAAGGCAAUCCCCUGGGCCUGCACUGACGCUCAUGCACGAAAGCGUGGGGAGCAAACAGG
rnacentral:rRNA from 1 species